rnacentral:rRNA from 1 species
UACGUAGGGUGCGAGCGUUAAUCGGAAUUACUGGGCGUAAAGCGUGCGCAGGCGGUAAGUUAAGUCUGAUGUGAAAGCCCCGGGCUCAACCUGGGAAUGGCAUUGGAAACUGGCUUGCUGGAGUGUGGCAGAGGGGGGGUGGAAUUCCGCGUGUAGCAGUGAAAUGCGUAGAGAUGCGGAGGAACACCGAUGGCGAAGGCAGCCCCCUGGGCCAACACUGACGCUCAGGCACGAAAGCGUGGGGAGCAAACAGG